rnacentral:lncRNA from 10 species
CAGCUUUGCUCUAACUUACUUAAAAAUGCAAUUCAGGAGUACACUCUCAAUCAUGUAGCAAGCCAGAAAGAACAUUGAGAUCUUUAUUGAAUAUUAUGUGUAUAUAGGGAAGUUCCUCUAAAGCCAAUGGGUGCUAUGUAAACGCCGAUUGUUAUUAUCACAACAAUGAUGGUGGUGGUGGUGGUAGUGAGGGUGAUGGAGGUGAUGGUGGGAUAGCAGAAGUGAGGAUAGUGGUGGUUUGCCACUUUCAGUAGUGGUAUGAAUAAGUCCCCAGCCAAGCCAGGUGGAAGCCAGUCUUUCACAUAUUGAUGGGGAUAUUGAGUUUACAACCCCCAC